GACGAACGCUGGCGGCGUGCCUAAUACAUGCAAGUAGAACGCACAGUUUAUACCGUAGCUUGCUACACCAUAGACUGUGAGUUGCGAACGGGUGAGUAACGCGUAGGUAACCUGCCUGGCAGCGGGGGAUAACUAUUGGAAACGAUAGCUAAUACCGCAUAAUAUUAAUUAUUGCAUGAUAAUUAAUUGAAAGGUGCAAUUGCACCACUACCAGAUGGACCUGCGUUGUAUUAGCUAGUAGGUGAGGUAACGGCUCACCUAGGCGACGAUACAUAGCCGACCUGAGAGGGUGAUCGGCCACACUGGGACUGAGACACGGCCCAGACUCCUACGGGAGGCAGCAGUAGGGAAUCUUCGGCAAUGGACGAAAGUCUGACCGAGCAACGCCGCGUGAGUGAAGAAGGUUUUCGGAUCGUAAAGCUCUGUUGUAAGAGAAGAACGGGUGUGAGAGUGGAAAGUUCACACUGUGACGGUAUCUUAACAGAAAGGGACGGCUAACUACGUG
rnacentral:rRNA from 1 species